rnacentral:tRNA from 1 species
GAGGGCAUAGCUCAGCUGUAAGAGUGUAUGCUUAGCAUGCAUGAGGUCCUGGGUUCAACCCCCAAUACCUUCA